UGGGGAAUAUUGGACAAUGGGGGAAACCCUGAUCCAGCGAUGCCGCGUGUGUGAAGAAGGCCUACGGGUUGUAAAGCACUUUCGGUGGGGAGGAGGACACACAGGUUAAGAGCUAGUGUGUUGGACGUUACCCACAAAAGAAGCACCGGCUAACUCCGUGCCAGCAGCCGCGGUAAUACGGAGGGUGCAAGCGUUAAUCGGAAUUACUGGGCGUAAAGGGUGCGUAGGCGGUUUAAUAAGUUAAGUGUGAAAGUCCUGGGCUUAACCUGGGGAAGUCACUUAAGACUGUUAGACUGGAGUAUGGGAGAGGGUAGUGGAAUUUCCGGUGUAGCGGUGAAAUGCGUAGAGAUCGGAAGGAACACCAGUGGCGAAGGCGGCUACCUGGCCCAAUACUGACGCU
rnacentral:rRNA from 1 species